GAUGAACGCUAGCGGCAGGCUUAAUACAUGCAAGUCGUGGGGCAGCAUGAUGUAGCAAUACUUUGAUGGCGACCGGCAAACGGGUGCGGAACACGUACACAACCUUCCUUUUAGUGGGGAAUAGCCCAGAGAAAUUUGGAUUAAUACCCCGUAACAUAGCGAUGAGGCAUCUCAUUGCUAUUAUAGCUUCGGCGCUAGAUGAUGGGUGUGCGUAUGAUUAGAUAGUUGGCGAGGUAACGGCUCACCAAGUCUACGAUCAUUAGCUGAUGUGAGAGCAUGAUCAGCCACACGGGCACUGAGACACGGGCCCGACUCCUACGGGAGGCAGCAGUAAGGAAUAUUGGUCAAUGGACGAAAGUCUGAACCAGCCAUGCCGCGUGAAGGAUUAAGGUCCUCUGGAUUGUAAACUUCUUUUAUAUGGGACGAAAAAAGGUCUUUCUAGAUCACUUGACGGUACCAUAUGAAUAAGCACCGGCUAACUCCGUGCCAGCCGCCGCUGUAAGAC
rnacentral:rRNA from 1 species